rnacentral:rRNA from 1 species
UACCUGCAGCUCUAGUGGUGAUCGCUAUUAUUGGGCCUAAAACGUCCGUAGCCGGCUUAUUAAAUGCCUGGGUAAAUCGUGUAGCUUAACUAUACGAAUUCCGGGUAGACUGAUAGGCUUGAGACCGGGAGAAGCUAGAGGUACUCCUGGGGUAGAGGUGAAAUUCUGUAAUCCUAGGGGGACCACCAGUGGCGAAGGCGUCUAGCUAGAACGGGUCUGACGGUGAGGGACGAAGCCCUGGGGCGCAAACCGGAUUAGAUACCCGGGUAGUCCAGGGUGUAAACGCUGCUUGCUUGAUGUUAGUUGGGCUCUGAGCCCAAUUAGUGUCGGAGAGAAGUUGUUAAGCAAGCUGCCUGGGAAGUACGGUCGCAAGACUGAAACUUAAAGGAAUUGGGCGGGGGAGCACAGCAACGGGUGGAGCGUGCGGUUU